rnacentral:tRNA from 1 species
GCCUGGGUGGCUCAGUGGUUGAGCGUCUGCCUUUGGCUCAGGGCGUGAUCCCCAGAUCUGGGAUCAAGUCCCACAUCAGGCU